rnacentral:rRNA from 1 species
AGAACGAACGCUGGCGGCAUGCCUAACACAUGCAAGUCGAACGCUUGCCGGGCUUCGGUUCGGCAGGAGUGGCGCACGGGUGAGUAGCGCGUGGGAACCUGCCCUGUUGUGGGGGAUAACCGAGGGAAACUUCGGCUAAUACCGCAUAAGCCGGUUGUCUUGAAAGAGAUGGCCGGGAAAGAUUUAUCGCUCUAGGAGGGGCCCGCGUCGGAUUAGGUAGUUGGUGGGUAACGGCUUACCAAGCCUGUGAUCCGUAGCUGGUCUGAGAGGAUGAUCAGCCACACUGGGACUGAGACACGGCCCAGACUCCUACGGGAGGCAGCAGUGGGGAAUAUUGGACAAUGGGCGCAAGCCUGACCCAGCAAUGCCGCGUGAGUGAUGAAGGCCUUCGGGUUGUAAAGCUCUUUCGCACGCGAGGAUGAUGACGCUAGCGUGAGAAGAAGCCCGGCUAACUCGUGCCAGCAGCCGC